rnacentral:snRNA from 1 species
AGGUUUGCGCAGUGGCAGUACCGUAGCCAAUGAGGUUUAUCCGAGGUGUGAUUAUUGCUAAUUGGAAAAAAAAAAAAAAAGAU